UACGAAGGGGGCGAGCGUUGUUCGGAUUUACUGGGCGUAAAGGGCGCGCAGGCGGCCAUUCAAGUCAGGCGUGAAAGCCCCGGGCUUAACCUGGGGGCUGCGCUUGAGACUGUGGUGCUAGAGGACGGAAGAGGGUCGUGGAAUUCCCAGUGUAGAGGUGAAAUUCGUAGAUAUUGGGAAGAACACCGGUGGCGAAGGCGGCGACCUGGUCCGUUACUGACGCUGAGGCGCGACAGCGUGGGGAGCAAACAGG
rnacentral:rRNA from 1 species